UACGAAGGGGGCUAGCGUUGUUCGGAUUUACUGGGCGUAAAGCGCACGUAGGCGGACUAUUAAGUCAGGGGUGAAAUCCCGGGGCUCAACCCCGGAACUGCCUUUGAUACUGGUAGUCUUGAGUUCGAGAGAGGUGAGUGGAAUUCCGAGUGUAGAGGUGAAAUUCGUAGAUAUUCGGAGGAGCACCAGUGGCGAAGGCGGCUCACUGGCUCGAUACUGACGCUGAGGUGCGAAAGCGUGGGGAGCAAACAGG
rnacentral:rRNA from 1 species